rnacentral:tRNA from 1 species
AAGUGUUAAGUUAAAUAGACUUUAAUAUUUCAAGUAUUAAUGAGGUUAAAUACCACACUUU